rnacentral:lncRNA from 1 species
UCACUGUAAUCACGAUAUUGCUCUUGAUAAAGCAAGAAGCUAAAACUUGUGUAUAUGUUUCCUAACACAAUAUCACAAAGUAAAUUUGACUCAUUCGCCACAAGGAUGCACGCAACAGCUCAGUCGUGAUAUGUUAGUGCUGCUCACCACUUUUUUUUUUGUGUGUUGAGCGUAUGCAUAGAUGCAGCAUUAUUUCCCCCGUGAUUUCAGGUGCAUCUGCGAAUGCUAGGCCUUCGUUCGGAAGAGCUGAUGGAUCCGAAACCGAAAGUGUGACAUAGCUGGUCUCGAUGAGAAAAUAUUGUUUCAGCCUUUAUGGAGAGGAUAUUGUCCACCCUUAAUACAAUUAAGGUUGUGCAACAGACGCAUACCCAGCUCUUGGCAGAGCUGAAGAAUAAUGCUGAAGAAGCAUGCCCAGAGAGCCAAAACCUCCCUGAUCAGCUGCCAUUUUUGACCACAAGAGACAUGGUUGAUUGAGAUGCUGAACUCGGGGUCAACAAGGAAGCAAAGCUUCGAAUGAAAAGACACAUGCUUGUCCAAAGUGGUGACACCAUAAACCAGAAGACUGCACGCAUCUUAAAGAGUGUGAUGUCGUGGGAUGUGGCAAAACAGUUCAGUUGGUAUAGUGCAAAAGGCAAAAGGAAGUUUUGCGAGCUGAAUAUUUGCAAGCUACUGUGCAGUAAGUCUUCUGCUACAAUAUUAUCACUUUCGUUGUCUGCAUUGUCAUAGCUCAUUUUCCUCGCACCAUUGACACUUAUUUUCUUAUGCAGCCUGCCUGAUGGAAUAUAUCAAGCAGAAACAGGAGGAGGCUACACUAAAAAACAUAGAAAAAGCAGCCAUGUAUUGGUUCCGCCAUGCCGCAGAACGGGCAGCAGCAGGGCAACAAAGGCAACAAAGACCACUGAACAAAACUUCAGAACAGGACAAUGACGCUCUCAUUUCUUGAGACAGUGCACCUUAAUUACUGCUUAAAUGUGCAAUAAAUACUUCUGGUGAUCA